UUUUCCCUUCUUCUUCUUCUUCUUCUUCUUCUUCUUCUUCUUCUUCUUCUUCUUCUUCUUUUCUCCUCCCGUCCCUCCUCUCCUACCCCCAUCCCCUUUUCUUUGAAUGAGUCUCGCUGCCCUAGCAGCAAAUGCAAAAGAGGGCUUCACCCUCUAUUUUCUCUCCCAUCUCUUUUCUUAGGCGUGCUCGUCGGAAUUCCAGCCCUAGCAGCGGCAACAAUGGUUCUGUACAGGGGUUGUGGCAACACCUUCCUCGGCACCCCGGUUCCACUCCAAGUUCUAUUGUUCUGGAAAAUUUGUUUUUGACUUAUCUUGGAACUGAUGUUGCUGUGUAUGGCGGGAGCUGACAUUGAAGAUGUACGUGCAUUUCGGUUAUAACUGCCACUUGUCCUUGGUAGCUUUAGAUUUGCAAAUUCGAACAGAUGAUGUAUUUAUUUCGUACCAGCUUUGUAAAUUCUAAGUCUUAGAAGCUCAUGACUUGUACUACCAAUCCUUGGGAGAUUGUAUAAAUGUUUAGUAAUUUUACUCAUUUACUUUUAUUAUUCGCAUUUGAGUUGUAUUGACUGAUAUUUGGCUUACCUAGCGGGUAGGGGUAGGUGCCAUCACGGCUAGAUGGAUUUUGGGUCGCGACACCCCACCUGUGGGUUUACACUUUUUUUUUUCUUUGUUGUUCCAUAGGUAACCGCUUGAAAUUGUUUCUUUUUUAAUAUAGUUAUUUUCCUUGUGAAACUACUGGUUGACUACCUAUGAACGAUGCCGCUUUGGCCUUUGA